GUUCUACCAUAAAGAUACAUGCAGAUCUAUGUUCAUCAUGGGACUAUUCACAAAAGCAAAGACAUGGAAUCAACCUAAGUGUCCAUGAACAGAUGACUAGAUAAAGAAAAUGUGGUAUAUAUACACAGUGGAAUACUAUGCAGCCAUAAAGGAGAAUGAAAUCAUGUCCUUUGCAGCAAUGUAAAUGCAGCUGGAGGCCAUUAUCCUAAGCAAAUUAACACAGAAACAGAAAACCAAAUGCUACAUGUUCUCUUGUAUAAGUGAGGACUAAACAUUGAGUACACAUGGACACAAAGAAGGGAACAACGGAUACUAGUUCUACUUGAGAGUGGAGGGUGGGAGGAGAGUAGUCUGUACACCAAACCUCCUGACCUGUAAUUUAACCAUGUAACAACCCUGCACAUGUACCCUCUGUAAAAUGAAAGAUGGGAAAACAACAACAACAACAAUAAUAAUAGUAAUAAUGAUAGGGAAAUAACCCAAUUAAAAAAUGGGACAAAGACCUUAACAGAUACCUCACAAAAGAAGAUACGCAGGUGUCAAAUAAGUAUAUGAAUAUACAUCCCAUAUCAUAUGUCACCAGGGAAAUGCAAAUUAAAACAAUGAGAUACCGCUACACACAUGAGAAGGGCCAAGAUGCAGAACACUGACAACAUCAAAUGCUGACAAAGGUGUGGAGUAACAGGAACUUUCAUUCAUUGCUGUUGGGAAUGAAAAAUGCUACAGCCAUUUUGGAAGACAGUUUGGUAGCCACUUACAAAGCUAAACAUACUCUUACCAUAUGAUCCAGCAAUUGGGCUUUUCAAUAUUUACUGAAAUGUGUUGAAAACGUAUCUACACACAAAAACCUGCACUUGGAUGCUUAUAGCAGCUUUAUUCAUAAUUGCCAAAACUUGGAAGCAACCAAGAUGUCCUUCUGUAGGUGAAUGAACAAAUAUGCCCAGAUAAUGAAAUAUUAUUCAGUGCUAAAAAGAAAUGGGCUGUCAAGUGUGAAAAGAUAAACAGAAAAAUUAAAGGCAUAUUACUGAAAGAAAAAAUUAAUCUGAAACAGCUACAUACUGCGUGAGUUAAACUAUAUGAUAUUCUGGAAAAAAAAAAAAAACAAAAAAUAUGGAGACAGCAAAAAUCUCAAUUGCUCCUAGGAGUUAGGGAUAGGGAAGGAUGAAUAGGCGGAAGACAGAGGAUUAUUAGGACAGUAAAAAUACUCUGUAUGAUACCAUGAUGGUGUACACAUGUCGUUAUGCAUUUAUCCAAACCUAUAGACUAUGCAACACCAAGAGUGAACCCUAAUGUCAACUGUGGACUUUGGGUGAUAAUGAUCUGCCAAUGUAUGUUCGUGAAUUGCAACAUCCCCCACUCUGGUGGGGGAUGUUGAUAAUGGGGGAGGCUAUUCCUGUGUGGGGCAGAGGAUGUAUGGGAAAUCUCUGUACCUUCCACUCAGUUUUGCUGUGAACCUAAAACUAUUUUAAAAACUAAAAACUAUUACAAAUAAAUAGAAAUAUGCUGCUCCAGGCCCUCAACAGGCCUUUUCAGCCUGGGAACUCACGAGCUCCUAUUCUUCUAUUCUGGAAAUGUUCUUUCCUCAUGCAUGUACUUCAUUAGACCAUAAUACGCUUUGUCAAGGCAGGAACCAUGUGAUUCUUGCUCAUGAUUCUUUUAUGGUGCCUAGUGAAGUACCUGGAGCCCAAUAGCUAUUUAAUGAGUGAACUAAUGAAUGAAUGAAUGCAGGAAAGAACAUGAGUGCUUUGGGAAGAAGAUAUUCCGCUGAGCUUCGGGGAUGCCAAGCUUAAGGUGUACAUUGUAUGUAAGAGCCUAGACCCACGAAAUAUAUCAAGGCUGCAAAUGUAGGCUAGGGAGGUAACUGCAUAUAUUUGGUACUUGAAGCCCUGGUGGUGAUAUGGUCUCCCUGGAAAGGUAUAUGGAGUGAAAAGAAAAGAAAGUGGCUAGUAAAGGGCAGUAAAGUCCAUGGUUUCUCUGAAUGAAGAAAAAAUGUUGUUUUCCAAAAUUUCCAAACAAAAGCGAAACUCAUGGAGAAUUUUCCAUUAUCCUAUGGCUUUCUCUAUGUCUCAGCAGAACUUUUCAUAUACUGUAAGAAGCAUGAUACUAGAGUACACUAAUUAUUAAGGUUCAUCACCAAAACUCACCCCUUCUAUAUCCACAGAGAAAGAGGCAUAUGCGGGUAGGUAACAGAAAUGACAGGAAAAGCUAUUGACAGAUGAGAAUAGUGGCCAGAAGAGAAAUAUAGGUGAAGUGUUCUGGCCUACCCAAACCCUCAGUCUCCAGCCCAGAUCCUCGGCUCCUGAAAACACUACAAAAUACUCCCCCAGUACUCCACCCCUGCCACUAGCAAGUAUCACUUGCAGGCCCAUCCUUUGCUCUCUUAACCAUGCCCACAUGCUCUUUCCCACCGCGUCUUAUUCCUCCUCUCUAAGAAGUCUUAUUCUCUGUGUAAGAAAGCUUAAGUCCUCUGCUUGUUCAGCCUAGCUUGAACUGAAACCAAUAUCCCCAAUACCAGCUAAAGUUAGCUAACGUGAUCUAAUUCCUGGAUAUUUAGGGCCCCCUCUAACUGCCUCUAUCACCAGCAAAAUCACCUGCUGGGAACUGACUCUCAGCCCAGGUUCUAUUUCUGUCCCCCACCCGCUUCAUCUACCUCUGUAAGUUCUGAACCAUCUCAGAAUGAAGCUCCCAGAGAAACCCUGCCCUGCAUGGUAUAUUCCUGCCACUGCAUGCUUGCAGAUGCGCUCAUAAUUGAAUUUGUUCAUUUUAAUGGUGGAAGUUUGGGCACCUGGGAGCCAAUUUUAGAAAAUGCAUUGGCUAUUGGACAAAAUGAUGAAGUCCAGAUCUAGCAUGUGGGUCUGAGAUUCUCCACUACUGGGCUAGCUAACCAGAUUGCUAAAAGGAAGUAGAAAGAGAGUUUAUGUGUUGUGACAUUCUAUACAAACAAGAAUUCAGUUCACAUUAGUGGAAAGUAUUAAGAAUCAAUCUUUCUCCACAAUGAAAAACACUGAAUAAAAUAUAUUUAAAACACUGAAUAAAAUAUAUUUAAAGUCACGUUAAAAGCAAGGAAGGUCUGGGCAUGGUGGCUUAUGCCUGUAAUCCCAGCACUUUGGGAGGCCAAGGCAGGAGGAUCACUUGAGCCCAGGAGUCGAGCCUGGGAAACAUAGUGAGAUUCUUGCCUCCACAAAACAUCCAAAAAUUAGCUGACCAUGGUGGUGGGCACCUAGAGUCUCAGGUACUUGGGAGACUGAGGUGGGAGGAUCACUUGAGCCUUGGAGGUCGAGGCUACAGUGAGCUGUGAUUGUGCCACUGCACUCCAGCCUGGGCAACAGAGCGAGACCCUGUCAAAAAAAAAAAAAAAAGAAAAAAAGAAAAAAGAAAAAGAAAAGACAAGGAAGGAUUACCACAUGUCAUGCCACAUUUUGGUGGGAAAAGCCUGAACCUGGAAGCCAAAGAAAAAAAGUAUCUGAGCAACAAAACCCUUCUAAGGGGGCUUACUGACACUGAUCACUUAGUCUUGAGUUCCCCAGCCUCAUGUGGCCAAAAGGACAGAGUCAAGGCCCAGGGCCACUCAAGAAGAGGAAACUUGGGGAUAACAUUUUCUAUGUCAAAUGAACCCCAAAACACUACAUAAUAAAAUAAAUUAUAAACAGAACUAAACUCCUCCUACUUCCCAGUAGUAAUGGAACAGGGAAAAACAAACAAAAGAGAAAAAAGAGAGAAAGAAAAAAAGAGAAGAAAAGAAAGGGAAGAGAGAAAGAGAAAGAAAGAAGAAAGAAGAAAUAGAAAAGGAAGAAAGAGAAAGAAGAAAGAAAAAGAAAGAAAGAAAAAGAAAAAGAAAGGAAAAGAAAGAAUCAAAUCCCUAAGAAGUUAUGGGCAUAGAUUGGUCCUCAUAAGUAUUUGUACUCUAGACAAACAUAGCCUGGGUGAACAGAGAAUCUCAAGUUGAGACCAUCCACAACCAGUGUGCCCUUGCACUUGGCAGAAACAAAGGCAAAACCUCUAUGAAACAGGAAUAAUUUAUCCUAGGCACCAGGGAACCCACAAAUUUUUCUUAAGGGCAAUGACCAGCAAGCAAAAAAUACUAGACACACAAGAAAGCAAGGCAACAUGAAUGAAAAUUGGUAGAACAAAAGAGACUACCCAAAUUUCAGCUAUUCAAAUUAGCAGGCACAAAUUAUAUAAAUGAUAAGUUUGAAAAUCUCUGUAAGAAACCAUUAAAUACAGAAAAUCCCUGUAAGAAACCAUUAAAUAAGAUUUCUGUAAGAAAUCUUAAAUACAGCAGAUUUAAGAAAAAGCAACAUAGAAAUUCUAGAAAUAAGCCAAGCAUGCUGGUUCAUGCUUUGGGAGGCUGAGACAGGAGGAUUGUUUGAGAUCAGAAGUUCAAGACCAGCCUGGACAACAUAGCAAGACCCAUUUUUACAAAAAAAAAAAAAAAAGCUGGCAUGGUGGUAUGUGCCUGUAGUCCCAGCUACUUGGGAGCCUGAGGUGAGAAGAUUGCUUGAGACCAGAGAGUUCAAGGCUGCAGUGAGCUAUGAUCGCACAGCUAUACUCCAGCCUGAAUGACGGAGAAAGACCCUGUCUCUUAAAACACACACAGACACACACACUCACACACACACACACACACCAACAACCAAAAUAAAAACUCAAAAGACAUGUUUGGUAGUAGAAAAUUAGUGAGCUAGAAGAUAGGGCAAAAGAAAUCACUCAGAGUGUGUAACAGAGAACAUAGAAAAUACAGCACAGGGAGUGAUGGCUCAUGCCUGUAAUCCCAACACUUUGGGAGGCCGAGGCGGGCGGAUCACCUGAGGUAAAGAAAUUGAGACCAGCCUGGCCAGCAUGGUGAAACCCCGUCUCUACUAAAAAUACAAAAAUUAGCAGGACGUGGUGGGGCACAUCUGUAAUCCCAGCUACUCAGGAGGCUGAGGCACGGGAAUCACUUGAACCCGGGAGGCCACCAUUGCAUUCCAGCCUGGGCAAUAGAGUGAGACUCUGUCUCAAAGAAAAAAAAAAAAAAGAAAAAAAAGUACAGCAGAGAAGUAUCAAGAUAAAGUCUUAACUAUUUGUGAUUGGAAUCCCAGAAGGAGAUGAGAGAGAGAAUGGGGCAGAGAGAAUAUCUGAAGAGAUAAUAGCAGAACAUUUCUUAGAAAAAUAUGAGAUACCUAAUUGACAGAUUCCAAAGGCUCAGAAUAUAUUUUUAUUUAUGCUGCUUGUGAUUUUCACACCUGAAUACAUCAUAGAGGAAACAAAAACAAAGACAGUCUUAAAAGUAGCCAGAGGGGAAGUAAAAGAGAGAAUGUCUUCAAAGUAGAAGCAUUUAGACAGACAAGUGAGUUCUCAACAGAAAUAAUGGAAGGCAGGCCAGGCACAGUGGCUCAUGUCUGUAAUCCCAGCUACUUGGGAGGCUGAGGUGGGAGAAUUGCUUGAACCCAGGAGGUGGAGGUUGCAGUGAGCCGAGAUCAUGCCGCUGCACUCCAGCCAGGGCAACAGAGCAAGACCCUGUCUCAAAGAAAGAAAAAAAAAGAAAUAAUGGAAGGCAGAUGACAAUGCCAUAAUGUCUUAAAUAAGCUGCAAGAAAAUAACUGCUGUAUCAGUCAGCAUUCAACCAGAGAAGCAGAACCAGAAGGAGAUAUAUAUUAAGAGACUUGUUGUGGGAAUUAGCUUACACAAUUGUGAGAAGGACAGGCUGGAACUCUCGGGUACAAGUUGAAGAGACAAUCCACAGGCAGAAUUUCUACUUUAUUCUGGGAAGCCUCAACUCUGCUCUUAAUGUCUUUUAACUUAUUAAUCAUGCCCAUGCAGAUUAUCUAGAAUAAUCUUCCCUACUUAAAGUCAACUGAUUAUGGACUUUAAUCACAUCUACAAAACCCCUUCAUGGCAACCCCUGGUGUUUGAUUGAAUAACUGGAGUCUGUACACUAGCCGGUUCGACAUAUCAAAAGAUCAUCACAACUGCUAACCUAGAAUUCCGAUGAAUUAUAUCUUCAAUGAAAAUAUCUUCCAUGAAUGAGAGCUGGCCAGGCAUGGUGGCUCACACCAGUAAUCCCAGCACUUUGGGAGGCUGAAGCAGGAGGAUCGCUUGGGGCCAGGAGUUCGAGACCAGACUUGGCAAGAUAGUCUACAAAAAAAUUGUUAAAAAAUUAGCUGGGCAUGGUGGCACAUGCCCGUAGUCCCAGCUACUGGGGAGGCAGAGGCAGGAGGAUCACUUGAGCCUAGGAUUUUGGGGCUGCAGUGAGCUAUGAUCAUGCCACUGCAUGUCAACCUGGGUGAAAGAGUGAGAUCUUGCCUCUGAAAAAAUAAAAAAUGAAUGGAAGCCAAGAAAAGAUAUUAAAACAAAAAUAGAGCUCAUCACCAGCAUUUUAUCACCAAAAGAAAUUCUAAGGGAUAUACUUCAGAUAGAAGGAAAAAGGUCUCAGAUAGACCGUCUGAGUUUCACUAAAGAAUCUGAGAAGCAAAAUAAAUAAACAAAAUAACGAAAGAAAAGAGAGAUACAGUAUAUACUUUUAAACUAUUGCUAGAGGGCCAAGAGAUUGAAUGAUAAAAUAAUGAAUUCAAAGGAAGUCAAGAAAACAAAAAUAACAGGUUGAGCAAAAAAUAAGAUGAUAGGUUUAAAUCCAG
rnacentral:lncRNA from 1 species